rnacentral:rRNA from 1 species
UACAGAGGUCCCCAAGCGUUGUUCGGAUUCAUUGGGCGUAAAGGGUGUGUAGGUGGCGCCGUAAGUCGGGUGUGAAAUCUCGGGGCUUAACUCCGAAACUGCAUUCGAUACUGCGGUGCUUGAGGACUGGAGAGGAGACUGGAAUUCAUGGUGUAGCAGUGAAAUGCGUAGAGAUCAUGAGGAAGACCAGUGGCGAAGGCGGGUCUCUGGACAGUUCCUGACACUGAGACACGAAGGCCAGGGGAGCAAACGGG